AUUCGCUGUUUCAGAAUCUAAUGCAUUCUGGGUAAUAUAUUCAAAAGUUUGCAUCAAAACGUUCUGAUUGGUUAAAAUGUCAUAAACCAAUAAACCAAGUGAUGUCAUUUUCAUUUUGGGGUACGAACAAUGAAAUUACCCAUGAUUCUAAUAAUUCUGAAACGGCCAAUUGGUUUUCCUAUAUUGUUUAAUUUUAAAUGACACCGUUUGUUUUCACUUCAAAAUUGUUGCACAUUUUUUUCAUUUGGGAUUUACAGCUUACUUUGCAGCACAGGUUUUAUUCAUUGUUGAAGGCCAUACUGUGAACUGUAGUUUUUUAGUUGUCUCAUUUGCAAUCAUUAACAUCUCUGUAUUUGUCAUAUAAAAAUGAAAUGAUUUUGAAGGAGUCUGUGUAUGCAAGAACCAAGUAAAUAUUUGUUGAUUCUAAAAACCAUUUGAAACAAUUGACUCAUCGAUGACAUCAUAAUUAUAUUUAGCCUGAAUUUUUGGAUCCUAAAACUAUUAUUUCAGUUUUGUAUUAUUUCAUCUUCAUUAUAGACAGAAAUGAAUUUUUUGUUAAAGAAUACAGGCGCGGAUCCAGCCAUUUUAAAAAGGGGGGGUUCCCAACCCAGAGUAAAAGGGGGGUUCAACUAUAUGCUCCCAUUCAAAUGUAUUGAUCGGCCAAAAAAAGGGGGGGUUCCAACCCCCAGAAC
rnacentral:lncRNA from 1 species